rnacentral:rRNA from 1 species
CCUACGGGAGGCAGCAGUGAGGAAUAUUGGUCAAUGGACGGAAGUCUGAACCAGCCAUGCCGCGUGCAGGAAGACGGCUCUAUGAGUUGUAAACUGCUUUUGUACAAGGGUAAACCUGAAUACGUGUAUUCCACUGAAAGUACUGUACGAAUAAGGAUCGGCUAACUCCGUGCCAGCAGCCGCGGUAAUACGGAGGAUCCAAGCGUUAUCCGGAUUUAUUGGGGUUAAAGGGUGCGUAGGCGGAUUGAUAAGUUAGAGGUGAAAUGUCCGGGCUUAACUCGGGAACUGCCUCUAAUACUGUAUCUCUAGAGUGUGGAUGAGGUAGGCGGAAUGUAUGGUGUAGCGGUGAAAUGCAUAGAGAUCAUACAGAACACCGAUUGCGAAGGCAGCUUACCAAUCCAUAUCUGACGUUGAGGCACGAAAGCGUGGGGAGCAAACAGGAUUAGAUACCCGGGUAGUC